rnacentral:lncRNA from 1 species
AGAUGUGCUUCCCACUAGGCAUUGCCUGCAGUGGACAUCCAAAAUCAGACCACAGUGACUGAGUUUACCCUGACGGCCUUUCCUGUUCUUCAGCAGCUUCAAAUUUCCCUUUUUGCAGUCCUCUUGUUUACUUAUAUGCUUACUCUAACAGGAAACGUUGCCAUCAUUUCCCUAACAUGUGCGAAUCAUCGCCUCCAAACCCCAAUGUACUUCUUCCUCAGUAAUUUGUCAAUUUUGGACAUUUUUUUCACCACCUCAGUUAUCCCAAAGCUAUUAGCCUGUCUCCUGCAGGACAAGAAGACCAUAUCUUUUGCUGGGUGCAUCACCCAAACUUAUUUCCUUUGUUUUCUUGGGGACAGUGGAGUUUAUCCUCUUGGCAGUGAUGUCCUUUGACUGCUACGUGGCCAUCUGUGACCCCCUGCACUACACCAUUAUCAUGAACAGCAGGGCCUGCCUCCUACUAGUUCUGGGCUGCUGGGUUGGAGCCUUCCUGUCUGUGUUGUGCCCAACCAUUGUGGUGUCCAGAUUGCCUUUCUGUUACAAGGAAAUUAGUCACUUCUUCUGUGACAUCACCCCUCUGCUACAUGUGUCCUGUAUAGACACUCAUUUCAUCGAGAUGAUAAACUUCCUCUUAUCUUCCCUCAUCCUCCUGACCUCACUGGUGCUCACCACUGUGUCCUACAUCUACAUCAUUUCUACCAUCCUGCACAUCCCCUCAGCCCAAGGACGUCGGAAGGCCUUUUCCACGUGCGCUUCCCACAUCACCGUCAUUUCCAUCGCUUAUAUAAGCAACAUCUUCAGAUGAGAAAACUGAUGUUUACAGAGGUUAAGCAUCUUGCCCCAAACUACAUCAUUGGUAAGUGGCAGAAAUUUAGAAUAUGUGAACUUCAGACUCCUUUAGCACUCCACUAUAUUAUAAAGUGUGGAAGGAAAACUUAAGAGGGGAAACCAAAUUAGCCUGGAAGCUACCUUCUUUUUCUGAAGCCAGAAGCCAACAGUUAGACAGACCUGCAGAUCAAGGCAGACCAGAAGUGGGAUACAAUUAGAAUGGACUGAGAGGCAAUUUGGUUUGAAAGGAAAACUAUUUAUUCAGAAGCCAUAACUGACCAUGAGUCUAGACUGAUCAUCUAUAGCAACUGGCGAAUAUGGCCAUCAUAUACAGAAGAUGAUCUUAGCAUUCAUUUGGUUGAGGAAAAAAAAAGUAUCAGAAAACUAAUCAAGCUUGCUUAAGUAAACUAUGUACUUAUCAUAAUAAUCAAAAGUGCCAUAUGGAACCCCAGAAAAUAAGAAACAUCAAAACCUGCUAAGUGACAAAAAGAAGGAACUAGAAAUUUGUAAGGAGCCAAGGUAGGUAUUCUCUUCUCUUUAAGUCUCUGAUUUCUCCUUAGGUCUCUCUGUAGCUGUAUUUCUCUGUAUUAUUUUUCUCCAUAUACUUUGUGGUAGGCUGAAUAAUGGCCCCUAAAGAUAUCCAGGUUCUGACCUCUGGAAACGGUGAAUGUUAUCUUAUGUGGCAAAGAGAUUUUUGUAGAUGUGAUUAAGUUAAAGUUCUUGAGAUGGGGGAUUAUCCUGGAUUACCCAGAUGCGCCCUACAUGUAAUCCCAAAUGUCAUCGUAAGAGCUAGGCAAAAGGAGAUUUUAUUACAAAAAUGAAGGCCAUGUGACGAUGAAAGCAGAGAGAGAUUUGAUGCUGCUGCUCUGCUGGCUUUGGAGACAGAGGAAAGGGCCACAAACCAAGAAAUAAACCUCCGAAAGCUAGAAAAGGCAACGAAGCUGAUUUUCUCCCACAACCUCCAGCAUGACUCUGCCAACACCUGGGUUUCAGCCCAGUGAAACUGUUUUUGGAUUUCUUGCCCUCAGAACUGUAAAAUAAUACAUUAGUGUUGUUUUAAGCCACCAAGUUUGUGGUAAUUUGUUACAGCAGCCAUAAGAAACUAAUAUACACCUGAUUUGCUUUUCUGUCUCUGCAGUGUUUUUUUCCACUUUUCUGUGCACAUGGAAGAUAGCUGCUUUUGUCAUUCACAAAUAUAUGUAUAUACUCAAUUACAGAUAUAUAUUCAAUAUAUA